rnacentral:tRNA from 1 species
UCUCUGGUGGUCCAAUCAUAAGGACUCUGCAUUUUCACUGCUGUGGCCCCGGGUUCAAUCCCUGGUCAGAGAA